GGAGGAAAGCUGAGAAUUUCUUCCACAAGCGAGCCCACGGCAUUGUCUGAGGGAAAGAAUGUCCCUUUCAAGUGAGCAGAAGGUAUUGAUGUCCAUGGAGAAAGCAUGUGAUUUUUGGCCCCCUGGGAUUCUCUCUGUCACAGACAAUAGAGGGGCGGCUACUUCAGAUUAUGAAAACUUGACAUACUGGGCAAAACAGGUGUUUCGCGAGCCAUCGUUCAGAAAAGUCAACAGGACAGUGAACUCACACAUCCCGGCAAUCUUUUUACUUGUUAACAGCAGCAAAGAGCCAUCAGCGUGUACCCCCAAAGCAGCUCAGCCUGUCAGCCUCAGACUGACCACGUUCUUUCCUCUUAACUCGUGUCAUCGGCGACCCUUUUCCUUUUCCUCGUAAAAACCUCCUGCCUCCACCCUCCAAGUGGGAGCACAGCCUGGGGAUCUACCCGAAUCGAAUCGGUGCUCGCCGGAUUAAAAUAGAUGCUCAUUUGCUUCUUGUUUUCAGGUUGACGAGAUCAUACCGGAGGAGCAACAGCCCUCGGGGAAAGAAAGCCAGAGGGUGCCUCCAUCGACGGUAGCCAAGCCUGAGGGUCCCAGCGAGCUGGGGGACACGCGUCCCAUCUUGGCGUUUCCCCAGCGAUUGCCAGGGGUGGAAGGUGGGCGUGAUGACUGGAGCUGGAGCAACCAUUUUGAGCCACAAAGAGGAAGCCUCGUGUUGAAGUAUCAGAACAACAAGCUAGAAAGAACCUGGGCCCCUGGACUCCUUCACAGCAGUUUCUGAUUCGGUGAGCGAGAAAGACGCUCCCGUCGUGUUUGUUUAAGCCGUCUUUAAAUUUUGAGUUUUCUCUUUCUCAGGGUAGAAUGAAUCCUGAUAUACUAGUGGUGUGGCCUUGAGCAAAUUUGCUCAAUCUCCCUGGGUCUCAGGAACCUCCUCAACAAAAUAGGUUUAAAAAUCCCAAACCCUUAGAAAUGUGAGGAUUCAAGAACACAACGCGGUAGUUCUCUGCUGCCUCUGAUACAUUUUGUGAUGACGCCCUAGAAAUACAGGUCUUCAGGACCCAUGCUGAAGCAUUUGCAUCACCAGGUCUGACGCGGGGGCCGGACGAUGUCCAUUUUUGUCAAGUCUCCAAGUGACGUGAUACUCAGCCAGCUUUGGGAAGCAUGUUGCUGAGAGAUUCAUCUCCUUUCCCUCUUUCGGGGUCAGAGUUAAGAGAUGUGGCGUGCACACAUCAUACAAGGGGGCUCACCCACGUGGAGGGGGCCUUACUAAGCCUCCAGCCCGCCCCCCGACCCCUGCACUGCAAAUGCCCAUCAGCCCUCACCCUCCCCGGAGGAAGGACUGAUCUGCUGGUUAACGACAGUGUGAGCCAUCAGCAGCCACCAGCUGCUCAGUCCCAUCUGAACCGCUCGCUCUGAAUUUCUGUUUAAAAUGCAGCAGCGUCCGUGGAUUAUGGCUUGCUGGUUUACAUGCUCAUGAUGGAUCUUUUAAUCUAAUUAAGGGAAGGCAAAGAUUUUCCCCUGGUGCUAUCAGCUGCAGAGAGCUCUGAUUUUUAAGCAGAGCAUACUAACUGAGAGCACUUAUAGGAGCAGGAAAAUCUGGGCCCUGAUGCUGGCCGUGUGUCCCUGAACAAAUCACUUAACUUCUCUGAAGAGCUAGCUUUCACCUCCACGAGCCAGGCUUUGGGCCAAGCCCUUUGCACGCAUAGACCCGCCCCGCCAACAGCCCAUGAGGCAGGUGUCUUCAUGAUUCCUAUUUUACAGAUGGGGAAACGGAGGCUCAGAGGGGCUACCUAAACAGCCCAGACCACACCGGGAGUAAAUGGUGUGACUAGGAUAGAACAACACUAUCUGGCUGAUGGACCGGGCAGAGAGUGAAAUCGUCGAGCGUCUCCGGAGAGUUUAGCAUGGCUGUGACCCACUAGGUUUAACAUUCCCCGUUGUAACAAUUAGCUACGAUCGUUCCUGUCAUGAUUAUGAGGUUGUCACCGAUGGAGGUGGCAUGGGAGCCAGGGAGCACGGAAUCAAAUGCAGUGCUCCCGUCCAGGUGGAGGAGCGCGGGAGAGAGAACAAGAUCGACGGAGGGCUGCUGUUGUCCCACAGAGCUGCCUGUCCUGGCCCAGAUAGGAGCUGAUGGCUCGGGAGAGGGUUGUCUCAUUGGACACUGUGUCUUAACUGUGAUGUAUUUCAGAGCACAUUGCAGACACCGGGAUCAAACACCUCAGCGUUUCUGUAAAGCUGCAGAGUCACUUGGGCCACUGAAACUCGUCCUGGAAGUUCCAUGUGUGUGGUUCAGCGGGACACAGCAUCCCCGAAAUGGAAACAGAGGUGGGAUCUGGGCCCUUGACUCCCAGAACUGUCUUCUCAUCUGAGCGGAUACACAGGAGCUUGGGGCUCUGAAAAGUAGAGUUUGAAAGUCAUUACUCUUACGGAAGAGGAAACUGAGGCUUGGUUGGGAGAAAGGUCACGUAUCCCAAGUCAUUCAUUCAUUAAUAAAAGACUGUUAAGCCUGA